CACAUGUGCUUUCUCUCUCUUUCUCUCUCUCUCUCUCAAAAAAAUAAAUUUAAAAAUUAAUUAAUUAAAUAGAAAGGAGGGAAUGCGUAUGUAAUAUUCUGUUUAGUGCUUGGCAUGGAGGGAGGGCCCAAACAUGGUGGCCUGAGAUUUUCUCUAGACCCAGCUCCUAGCACAUGGUCUGGAAAACUGAGGCUCAGAGAGGGACUUGUCAGGACUUUCACACACGCAGUCCCACCUGCCAUGGGGUGUAGGAUGGGUGGAGUGGAAGAGUCUGGGUAGGGCCCAAAUGAGAGCCAGACUCCUUUGUGAAAUUUCUGGCAGUGGAGGCACCCACUGAUCAAAUAUUUACCAGACCCAACGGUGUGGCCAUAGCACCGUGCAAAGAUGAAAAUGACACACAUCUGGCCCCAAGAAGCUCACAGCCAAGCAUCGGGCAGCCAACCAAACGCUGGUGCACGGAGAAUGUGUACCACAUGAAGACUGUUUUCAGAACUCCGGGAGAAGCUGAUUUGGAAAGCUUCGGAUCAAAAGUUCCCGCCCUCUCUUUUCGACAGCUAAAUAAUCCUAGUAAUCACUAACAUUUGUUGAUGCUUAUGCUGAGGCAAGCACAGUUUUAAGCACUUUAUGUGAAUUAACUGAGUUGGUCACAUCCUGGUACGGGCCCCGUAAGUGUGUGCUAUUUUCAACCCGUUUCACAAAGAAGCCGAGUUCCAGAGAGGUCAUGAAGUUUGCCCAGAGUCACACAGUUGGUCUGCUCUGUGCACUCGUGGAAGACAGGCACUGAGCUGGAUGAUGGUCACCACUGUACCUAUAGCAUCCAGUACAGGACACUGCACAAAGAGGAGACAAUGAGAAGUGAAUGAAUGAACAAAUCAACAGAUUGAUCCCGAACCGUCAAGAGAACAAAUUGAAAGCUUUCUGUCAACUGUCCCAACGUUGAUUGAAAAUUUCUCAUAUGGAAAACAUUAUGGGAUCUCCAACAUUAAAAUCUGUUCAAAAGCCAGGCGUGAGUGUUGGGAGCUAUGUUGGAGCUAAGGAAAGCCAUUAAGCCCACGCAGGGCACAUGCUUGAGGAGAUAGUCUCAUCACUGUGUCUACAGAGAAGACUUAAACAGAGGCUCGGGGCAUGACUUACCAUGUCAAUAAAAGUGGAUGUCUCUGUUUCUAGAAUGUUCUGAUGUCAUCAUCCAAAUAGACGCAUCAGUGGGCUACCAUCUAAGCAAGGCAUCUUUGCCCUUGAAGGCAGUACCUCACACAGGGCCAGGUAUAUAUAUGUAAGAUACAUAUAUACGUGUGUGUGUGUGUGUGUGUGUGUAUGUAUUACAUACAGGUAUAUGUAAGAUGCUCAAUAAACACUUACUGAAUGGGAGUUACUUUUUUUCCACCCAAAGGCAGACAUUUACUUAGGGACACACGGGUCUCUUUGACAUGUCUCAUGUUGCCCCACUACCAAUCUCUCCUGAUUCUAAUGUUCCCCACACAGGUGUCUGAGUGUUUACUCAACUUCAAGUACGAUCACAGCUCUUCCAUGCUCAUAAUAUUUCCCAGGACUUUCAUGGUCUCAGGAAAACUUCCAAUGGUGUCUAGACUUUAAAAAAAAGUCUCACAUUGCUGUAGAAUGUCAGCACUUGACAGAGGCCCAGCGACUAGGUAUUGUAUCCUCCUCUACUUUUCCCCUCCUAAUUUUAUAGGGUUCUGAUAAGGGGAAGGGAAUUAGCUGAGGAUGCAGUGGGUCAGUGGUGGGAGCAGACCUGAAAUCCAGGUAUCUUAAUGGCCAGUCCAGUGGUCCAUCCUCUAUGAGCACAGCAGGGUUCAAAAAUCUAACUACAUAGUCACAGAGAGUAGCUUUCUGUUUGAAGAAAUUUUCUGAAUUUUCCCCUCCCCCGUCAUGGGUAACCACUUCCACACAGUUUUAUCCUUCUCUGGCCUCUGAUCCUUAGGCUAGAUAAUUAAUCAGGCUUUUGAAUAAUUAAAAUUAUUUAAAAAAUGCCUUUGUAUCUGUGAAAUUUGCUCCGGUAAUUACUGCCUUAUCAAGAGUCUGAUCCCGCAGACUGGAAUACUUUGCCAAGAGAUAGGAAGUACUUUCACUUGAGGCUUCGGGAUUCAGAAGUUGCGGAAGGAGUGUUUGUUAUAUGAACCAGUCUCUUUGAAGAUGAAUAGCACCAACUCUUGACUCCACAGUCUCCACAAAAUCCCCUUUCAUUCUUAGAUUUCGUAACAAGAUACAGCAUAUCUCAUUCUUUGCCUUCAGAGCCUGCUGUAAAAUAUGAUCAUUAGUUAAAGUUUUGGAUUGGCUUCUCCAAACUAGAUUCUGCACUUGCCUUGCUGAGCCUGGCUUCCAAAUUCAACAUCCACUUUCCAAUAAACUCUUGUGGCAGCACAGUGAAUGACAGUGCUUGUUUUUCUCAAGUUACUACCUGGCUCUUCCUGACCCAGCCAGUACCUGAGCCCUAAGACAUAAUGUUCUGUCCCUGGAGCCCCACCACUUCUUGUCAUACCUCCCAAAGGGUUUUUUGAAACCCAGGUCCAGGAUGCCCAAGGUCGACAACUUCAUGCUAGAUUCAGAGGGUUUACAGAAACCUGGUGGACAUUUCCAGCAAGUACAGUCAAUAGAGGGACCAACUACCCAACCAGGGCCCCUUAAAUACCUCACAACCAAGAAUGGGGCCAGUUACAGCACCUGGAGAGGGAAUGCUAAUGCAGGUGUAAUCAAGUGGGGGUGGGAUUUGUGGGGUUGUGCAAGGGAGACAUUAUUUUAUAGUGGUUAAGAACACACGCUCUGGAGUCAGACAAUUAAUAGGGAGGUUGUGCUUUCCUGGGCUCCUGUUUCUGCUGGCCUCUGGCUGGGUUUGGCCAGUGGGAGGCGCUGGUGGGACACUGAAGGGCAAAAGAAAAGGAGACCAAAGGGGAUUUCUUCCCCUCUUUCUCUGCUUGGGUGAUUUCUUUAGAAGCAAACAAGGAUCCUCCUUGGCUUCAGCUUCCCCUGGACACAUCUGCCAUGGUUCCAGCUUCCAUGCAUUAUCAUACUCCAAGGCUUCCAGUAUCUUGGUCCCUCCGUCUUAAGGUAGCAAGUAGCUUCUCGCUCUUGUGUGUUUCUGAGUUAUCUUCCUAUCCCUUUUUGGAUUCCCAGUUGUCUCAUCACUUUCUGUAGCCAAUUCCCUAAAUUAAAUUCCCUCUGUGGUAAAUACUCAAAGCAGUUUCUGUUUUCCUGGUUCCUGAUCAACCACUGUUUGAUUAGGUAAGCCAGCGCAUGUCCUCUUUGGCUUAAGUGAAUUUGAGACGAGUCUCUGUCACAACUUAGAGAGUCUGGACUCACACAGGAGUUAACAGGCAAAAAAAAGUAGCUACGAGCUCCUGAGCACUUACUAUAUGCCUGGCACUAUGCUCAGUGCUUGGUUUACUAACUAUAGAAUCCAUGAAGUAGAAGUUAUGAUCUCCGUUUUGUAGGUGAGGGAAUGGGAGACACAAACAGGUUACAUAAUUUUAUCCCCACCAUAUUUAUUUUCUUUAUGUGGAAAUCCAGUCAAAACCAGCUGCUUCUUAAAAAAAAAGUUACAUAGAGGAAAGGAGGCAAACCAUAAGAGACUCUUAAAAAC